rnacentral:rRNA from 1 species
CCUACGGGAGGCUGCAGUGGGGAAUAUUGGACAAUGGGCGAAAGCCUGAUCCAGCCAUGCCGCGUGUGUGAAGAAGGCCUUCGGGUUGUAAAGCACUUUCAGUGGGGAAGAAAGCCUUGGGGCUAAUACCCUCGAGGAAGGACAUCACCCACAGAAGAAGCACCGGCUAACUCCGUGCCAGCAGCCGCGGUAAUACGGAGGGUGCGAGCGUUAAUCGGAAUUACUGGGCGUAAAGCGAGCGUAGGCGGUCUGAUAAGCCGGUUGUGAAAGCCCCGGGCUCAACCUUGGAACGGCAUCCGGAACUGUCAGGCUAGAGUGCAGGAGAGGAAGGUAGAAUUCCCGGUGUAGCGGUGAAAUGCGUAGAGAUCGGGAGGAAUACCAGUGGCGAAGGCGGCCUUCUGGACUGACACUGACGCUGAGGUGCGAAAGCGUGGGUAGCAAACAGGAUUAGAUACCCGAGUAGUC